GAUGAACGCUAGCGGCAGGCCUAAUACAUGCAAGUCGAACGGUGUCUUCGGACAUAGUGGCGCACGGGUGCGUAACACGUAUGCAACCUACCUUACAUUGGGGGAUAGCCUUUCGAAAGGGAGAUUAAUGCCGCAUAAGACAGUAGCUGGGCAUCCAGCAGCUGUUAAAGAUUUAUCGAUGUAAGCUGGGCAUGCGUCCAAUUAGCUAGUUGGUGAGGUAACGGCUCACCAAGGCAAUGAUUGGUAGGGGAACUGAGAGGUCAAUCCCCCACACUGGCACUGAGAUACGGGCCAGACUCUUACGGGAGGCAGCAGUAGGGAAUAUUGGGCAAUGGACGCAAGUCUGACCCAGCCAUGCCGCGUGCAGGAUGAAGGCGUUAUGCGUUGUAAACUGCUUUUAUACAGGAAGAAACGACUCUUGCGAGAGGCAUUGACGGUACUGUAUGAAUAAGCACCGGCUAACUCCGUGCCAGCCGCCGCGGUAAAAC
rnacentral:rRNA from 1 species